rnacentral:misc_RNA from 1 species
AAAGUCGUAACAAGGUUUCCGUAGGUGAACCUGCGGAAGGAUCAUUAUUGAAAAAGACAGGACGCCCGUUUUUCGUAAAUGGGUUCAAUACCACAACCGUGUAUACCUUACCUUUGUUGCUUUGGCAGGCCGCCUCCGGGCGUUGGCUUCGGCUGAUAGCGCCUGCCAGAGGACCCGAACUCUGUGUCUAGUGAUGUCUGAGUAAUAUAUAAUAUUUUAAAAC